UGGUGUAACACACAACGAGCUGAGCCAUU
rnacentral:piRNA from 1 species